AUUGAACGCUGGCGGCAGGCUUAACACAUGCAAGUCGAGCGGAGAUGAGGUGCUUGCACCUUAUCUUAGCGGCGGACGGGUGAGUAAUGCUUAGGAAUCUGCCUAUUAGUGGGGGACAACAUUCCGAAAGGAAUGCUAAUACCGCAUACGUCCUACGGGAGAAAGCAGGGGAUCUUCGGACCUUGAGCUAAUAGAUGAGCCUAAGUCGGAUGAGCUAGUUGGUGGGGGAAAGGACUACCAAGGCGACGAUCUGUAGCGGGUCUGAGAGGAUGAGCCGCCAAACUGGGACUGAGACACGGCCCAGACUCCUACUGGAGGCAGCAGUGGGGAAUAUUGGACAAUGGGGGGAACCCUGAUCCAGCCAUGCCGCGUGUGUGAAGAAGGCCUUAUGGUUGUAAAGCACUUUAAGCGAGGAGGAGGCUGCUGAGACUAAUACUCUUGGAUAGUGGACGUUACUCGCAGAAUAAGCACCGGCUAACUCUGUGCCAGCCGCCGCCGUAAAAC
rnacentral:rRNA from 1 species